GACCCGUGGAUACCCGAAUGGGGCAACCCGUCCGGAGUCAUAUCCGGACAUCGUACACUGAAUCCAUAGGUGUAUGAAGCCAACCCGGGGAACUGAAACAUCUAAGUACCCGGAGGAAAAGAAAUCAAGCGAGAUUCCCCCAGUAGCGGCGAGCGAACGGGGAAAAGCCUAAACCGUCUCUACGGAGGCGGGGUUGCGGGACCUUCAUCACGAACGAAUCAUCCUAGUCGAAGCGGCCUGGAAAGGCCCGGCACAGCAGGUAACACCCCUGUAGGCGAAAGGACGAGCCAUUCCGAAGGGAUCCCAAGUACCGCGGGGCACGUGAAAUCCCGUGGGAAUCCGGGGGGACCACCCUCCAAGGCUAAAUACUCCUCAGCGACCGAUAGUGAACCAGUACCGUGAGGGAAAGGUGAAAAGCACCCCGGAAGGGGAGUGAAA
rnacentral:rRNA from 1 species